AAUAGAUACCCAGGUAGUCCACGCCGUAAACGAUGUCGACUUGGAGGUUGUUCCCUUGAGGAGUGGCUUCCGGAGCUAACGCGUUAAGUCGACCGCCUGGGGAGUACGGCCGCAAGGUUAAAACUCAAAUGAAUUGACGGGGGCCCGCACAAGCGGUGGAGCAUGUGGUUUAAUUCGAUGCAACGCGAAGAACCUUACCUACUCUUGACAUCCAGAGAACUUAGCAGAGAUGCUUUGGUGCCUUCGGGAACUCUGAGACAGGUGCUGCAUGGCUGUCGUCAGCUCGUGUUGUGAAAUGUUGGGUUAAGUCCCGCAACGAGCGCAACCCUUAUCCUUUGUUGCCAGCGGUUCGGCCGGGAACUCAAAGGAGACUGCCAGUGAUAAACUGGAGGAAGGUGGGGAUGACGUCAAGUCAUCAUGGCCCUUACGAGUAGGGCUACACACGUGCUACAAUGGCGUAUACAAAGAGAAGCGACCUCGCGAGAGCAAGCGGACCUCAUAAAGUACGUCGUAGUCCGGAUUGGAGUCUGC
rnacentral:rRNA from 1 species